rnacentral:rRNA from 1 species
GACGAACGCUGGCGGCGUGCUUAACACAUGCCAGUCGAACGGAAAGGCCCUGCUUUUGUGGGGUGCUCGAUUGGCGAACGGGUGCGUAACACGUGAGUAACCUGCCCUUGUCUUUGGGAUAACUUCAGGAAACUGGGGCUAAUACCGGAUAGGAGCUCCUGCUCCAUGGUGGGGGUUGGAAAGUUUCGGCGGUUGGGGAUGGACUCGCGGCUUAUCAGCUUGUUGGUGGGGUAGUGGCUUACCAAGCCUUUGACGGGUAGCCGGCCUGAGAGGGUGACCGGCCACAUGGGGACUGAGAGACGGCCCAGACGCCUACGGGAGGCAGCAGUGGGGAAUAUUGCACAAUGGGCGGAAGCCUGAUGCAGCAACGCCGCGUUCGGGAUGACGGCCUUCGGGGUAUAAACCGCUUUCGCCUGUGACGAAGCGUGAGUGACGGUAAUGGGUAAAGAAGCACCGGCUAACUACGUG